rnacentral:lncRNA from 1 species
GAAUUUCUCUCUAUAUCUACAAUUUUGACGUUCGGUAGAUUCACAAUGUUUCGUUCGUAGAUCUUUUAUACGGGGUGCUACAUUUAGAAGAAAGUUGAUAUAUUCUAUCAUGUGAGGUAAUUACUCUAAAUACUCAAGCACUAGGGUGAGUAAAUUUGUUUUAAGGAGACAACGUAAAUUCGUUGGACUCAUAUUUAUAUUUAUGUAUGAUUUUCUGUUCAUUGUGAUAAUAAUUUUCAUAACAGUUUGAUAAUCUAUAUAAAAACCAUUGUGUAGUAUUUUUAUACAUGAUCGUUUAAAUUUGAGAAGUCAAAUCUAAACGAUUUUAAAAAAAAUUCUUUUGGGGUUUAAAUUUGGCUAUACAAUAUUUCAAUGAUUUUUUUUCAUUGAUCUUUUAUAUUUAUCACACGAUCUAAACAACUAAAUAAUAAUUUGAUUUUUUUAUAAAAAGAAUACCAAAUACGGUUUUAAAAAAAUAAAAGAAAAUUGCAGAAGAAGAGAAAAAAACAAUGUAUAGAAGAAAAAAUUUGCAGAAAAGGAGAAGAAAGACGAUGAAAAUAAAGAAUACGAUCGAUCAUAAAGAAGGAUGAAUAAAAGACAAGAAUAAAUCAAGAAGAAGAUGAAUAAAUUGAAAAGAAGAGGAAGAAUCAAAAUUGAAAAAUCGUUAUAAACUAAUAAGGGUAAAUAUGAAAUUCUAAAAAAAAAUAAUCAGUCUUAAUGGAAUUUUCUUAAAUUGUUCAAUGGACCAUAAAUAUUUUACUGAUUUAUUAUAUUUAUGAAAAUUAACCUAAUAUAAAUGUAUAUAUAAUAUAAAGGUUAAUUUUAAUAAAUAUAACAAAAAUACAAAAUAUUUACAACUCACCUAAUAAAAUGAAAAUGGUCAUUUUAUUAAAAUUUUCGGGUUUGCCCUACCUUUUCAUGUCUUUUUUUUUCUCUUCCUCAAGAGAUUUUUUUGUUCUUUUCGUCUUUUUCUCUUCCGGUUUUCUUUUAUUUUUUUUUAAAUUGUUAGUAUAUUAAAUAUAAAAGUUAUCUUCCAAUUUUCUUUUAUUUUUUAAAAACUGCUAUUUGAUUCAAGAUGGUAUUUUAAAUAUAAAAAAUCUAUAAUUUUUAUUUACUUUUUAUUUUUUGAAAACCUUUAUUUGGUUGUUCAAAAUAUAAAAGAUCAUGAAAAAACCGAUCAUGUUUCAAAAAUUAGUUUGAGUAGCCAAAUUUAAACUACCAAAUUUGUUCCAAAAAGAAUAAUCAAAUAUAAACAACCAUUUUUAAUUUCCCAAAUAAAAACGAAUAAUAAAAACAAUUAUUUUUUAAAAACGAAUAACCAAAACAAUUAUUUUUCAUUGUAUCGUGGGGUCGGUUCAUAUAAAUAUUGUCACUUAUAUUUUUUGAAAGACCACUAAUAUAUAAAUAUGAAGAAGAUAAUUGCAUCAAACGACAAAAAUAUGUUUUAAAAAGUUUAUUACACCAAUAAAAAUAUUUAAUACACCCAUUUUUAUACUAUGAAUAUGACAAAAAUAGUAAAAUCAAUUAUAAAUCGACUAUAAUCACUUCUAAAUUAAAUUUGUAAGUAAAGUAACAAAUUUAGAAAAUAUUGUUACCUAAACUUUUUGCAAAAGCUCCAUAAAUAUAUAUAAAUGUUGGAUUAUUAUAUAAUAUUUAAUUAAUUAAUUCGAUUUGGUUUGAAUCAAAAUUUUCAAAUCCAAACCCAAACCAUAUAAUACAGAUGGAGUAAUCCAAGUUGUCAUAUCCAACAAACAGAACACUAAUCAGACUCUAUCAAAGCAAACGUAACCCAACUAAAUGAGCAAGCAUUACAUAGCUCUAACUAAAUGAACACGUAUGCUAAAAAAAAAUAGAUGACAACACAAAAAAACAUCGAUCUAUAUAUUUGAGGACAGCAAAAAUAAGAAGGCAUAAACGAGACAACCGUCAGCUGGAUUUUAGAACUUCAUAAUAAAAUAGCAGUGCUCACAGAUCAGAACGAGAUUGAUUUUAUAUAUUGUAUCAGUAGGUAACGGCCCAUCGGAAUAUGAAUAAUUCCAAAUGCCACCCAUCAAAAACGGCCACAUUAACAAGAUUCGCAGUUCAUCAACCACUAAUCCCCAAACAAACAAACCUAACAACAUAUUGACUAUACUCACUUCUGGUUAAUUCCAGCUCAUUGAGGAUCACUGCUGGGCACACUGCACUCUCUGCGCCCCACCGUGCAUGUCUUCAUCUUCCUCAUAUGCCUCAGCUUGUUGCUUCCGCCGCAUCUCCUCUUCAAUGUUGACAUCAUGCAUUGAUGUCUCCUCGCACUCGUCAAGCUCCAUGUCGGUCAGUUGGGAUGACG